GAUGAACGCUGGCGGCGUGCCUAAUACAUGCAAGUAGAACGCUGAAGGAAGGAGCUUGCUCUUUCCGGAUGAGUUGCGAACGGGUGAGUAACGCGUAGGUAACCUGCCUGGUAGCGGGGGAUAACUAUUGGAAACGAUAGCUAAUACCGCAUAACAGUAGAUAUUGCAUGAUAUCUGCUUGAAAGGGGCAAUUGCUCCACUACCAGAUGGACCUGCGUUGUAUUAGCUAGUUGGUGAGGUAACGGCUCACCAAGGCGACGAUACAUAGCCGACCUGAGAGGGUGAUCGGCCACACUGGGACUGAGACACGGCCCAGACUCCUACGGGAGGCAGCAGUAGGGAAUCUUCGGCAAUGGACGGAAGUCUGACCGAGCAACGCCGCGUGAGUGAAGAAGGUUUUCGGAUCGUAAAGCUCUGUUGUAAGAGAAGAACGAGUGUGAGAGUGGAAAGUUCACACUGUGACGGUAUCUUACCAGAAAGGGACGGCUAACUACGUGCCAGCAGCCGCGGUAAUACGUAGGUCCCGAGCGUUAUCCGGAUUUAUUGGGCGUAAAGCGAGCGCAGGCGGUUAGAUAAGUCUGAAGUUAAAGGCUGUGGCUUAACCGUAGUACGCUUUGGAAACUGUUUAACUUGAGUGCAAGAGGGGAGAGUGGAAUUCCAUGUGUAGCGGUGAAAUGCGUAGAUAUAUGGAGGAACACCGGUGGCGAAAGCGGCUCUCUGGCUUGUAACUGACGCUGAGGCUCGAAAGCGUGGGGAGCAAACAGG
rnacentral:rRNA from 1 species